ACAAUGUCAAAACUAAUUAAAGACAAGGUUGCACGGUCGACGCAAAGAAUCCCAGAGGGCUUUGUGAAGCUAAUAAUCCUAUGAGAGACUCCUUUUGUAACAGAAUUCCCAAGGUGGAUGAGGAUGAGAAAAAUCGAGAUACAAAGCUCGAGAAUAUCCGCUGGGAGUCGCUUUCCCCAUUAUACUAUGAAUCCCCUUUCAUCAAAUUGAUGUUGCAGCCCCAACAAAGAUACAGGAGUUGCUGAUGGGUUCAAGUUCUUCAACAACAGGAUACCUAGAUGCUCCUUUCUACCAGCGGCCCGCUCAUUGCGACAGGUUCUCGCGGAGCUUAAUACAUCUGGAAGAAAUACGCUAUGCAGGUCGUGACUACUUUGAGCUGUUUCCGCGAGACUUGGUUGCCAUCCAGUCACCCGAUUGAGAUGGGCUCUGUUGAGGAGUCUUCAAUGCCCACAUUUGCAUAAAUAUUAGUACCUUCCAGUUAGGGUUACCGUAUGGUUUCCGGAGCGCGGUAUCUGGACUGGUACUCUGGAAUCACGCAUCCAUGGACAAAUUCUUGCUUGGGGUAGAUUUAGGGGUGGUCUGUAGAUAGAGGAAAUCUUCAAUAUUAAUAGCAUGCAACACUGGGACCUUAGAAUG
rnacentral:sRNA from 2 species